rnacentral:rRNA from 1 species
UACGUAGGUGGCAAGCGUUAUCCGGAUUUAUUGGGUGUAAAGGGCGUGUAGGCGGGAGCGCAAGUCAGAUGUGAAAACUCAGGGCUCAACCCUGAGCCUGCAUUUGAAACUGUGUUUCUUGAGUGCUGGAGAGGCAAUCGGAAUUCCGUGUGUAGCGGUGAAAUGCAUAGAUAUCACGCAGAACUCCGAUUGCGAAGGCAGCAUACCGGCGCCCUACUGACGCUGAGGCACGAAAGCGUGGGUAUCGAACAGG